UUCAAAGCGAUGAUAGGAAAGAGUAAGCAAAGAUAUGUCUUACAGAGAGUGGAGAUAGGUGAGAACCCACAUACUAAGGUUGCUGAAAAUCAUCCUUGAGCCGUAGGCUGAAGUUUUAGUAAGCUGAGCCGACUUGUGCCGUUAUGUGAAAUGAGUGAUAAAUUUGGGUGGUACCGCGGACCUACUUUCCGCCCCUUUU
rnacentral:ncRNA from 1 species